rnacentral:sRNA from 1 species
CUUAAUUUUAGGUACAUUUUUACAAGUUGCGAUUUUUUUGGAGUGGGUAGGUUGUGUUCUGAACUAGGAGAACAUUUUGGAACCUUUGGAGACUUUCCUACCAUGUUUUAGGGCUGAAAAAAAAUGGUUUAGGAUGGUUCAUUGGUUGUUUAUUAUUGCUAAGUACCAAGUGCAUAGGUCCUUUGUUGUCUAAGGCAUCUUCUUUUAAUUCCAAAUCAGAUUUGGAGUUUUGGGAGAGAGUAGAGAGGUCCUUGGUGGGAGGUGAACGAAAAUCCUAAGUAUUCUAAGUGUGGAGACUGACUUGGUCUAGCAAGGAGGAGAGGAAUUGCUCUCUUUGAAGAAGAGAGAUUUAAGUUAGAAUUUUCUUUGAAAUUGAAAGUGAAAACAAGCAAAGGUGGUGGUCUAGAGGUAUCAAGAGUGAAGAAUUUCUUGCAAGGAGAAGAGAAACUAUUUCAGAUGAAUUAGCAGAUGGUUCUGGACUUGCUUAGAAGAUGAGAGAUCUGUGGGAAAAAGGAGACAUGGGGAAUUUCUAAAAUAAAUCUAUGUUUGAAUUUCCGAACUGUGUGAAAUUUUAAAUUUCAGAAGUUUAUGAACUGUGUGGAAUUUUAUUUUCAGAAGACUUGUGUUGUAAUAAAGAACGUAAUAUUUUAUGGGUGUUGAAAUUUGUUAAAGAAAAAAAUUACAUAUGUAUUGUGUGGAAAAUAAAUUGUAACGCCUAAAUCGGGGUGUUACACGUUCUCUUGGAAAUUCUUUAUCUCUCUGUUUCAGAAAUUGGUAGGUAUUUGUGAGUUAAUCUUGUGACUAAAUUGAGACUUCAGUUACUUA